AGUGAACGCUGGCGGUAGGCCUAACACAUGCAAGUCGAACGGCAGCACAGUAAGAGCUUGCUCUUACGGGUGGCGAGUGGCGGACGGGUGAGGAAUACAUCGGAAUCUACUUUUUCGUGGGGGAUAACGUAGGGAAACUUACGCUAAUACCGCAUACGACCUACGGGCGAAAGCAGGGGAUCUUCGGACCUUGCGCGAUUGAAUGAGCCGAUGUCGGAUUAGCUAGUUGGCGGGGUAAAGGCCCACCAAGGCGACGAUCCGUAGCUGGUCUGAGAGGAUGAUCAGCCACACUGGAACUGAGACACGGUCCAGACUACUGCGGGACGCAGCAGUGGGGAAUAUUGGGCAGUGGGCGCAAGCCUGAUCCAGCCAUACCGCGUGGGUGAAGGAGGCCUUCGGGUUGUAAAGCCCUUUUGUUGGGAAAGAAAAGCAGCAGGUUAAUACCCCGCUGUUCUGACGGUAACCAAAGAAUAAGCACCGGCUAACUUCGUG
rnacentral:rRNA from 1 species